rnacentral:lncRNA from 1 species
UGAACUUAGGGAUGCAAACGGAGCUGAUCCGGGAGGAGGGGUCUACCUCUUCUUGCUUUUUUAUUGUCGGAUCGGAACGGAUUUCAGAUGAAUAAAUUUUAUUUUUAUUUUUAGCUUCUAUCUAUCGCUUCAUUCGGGGCAGAUCGGGGCGGGAGCAGACUUUUUGCAGAUUUUGGCAGAUCGAAGGAAGAAAAAGAUCUCUCGCCUCAUACUUCAUUUACUUCACGAAUUGAAGAAAUUCGGAGUGAAUUAUAAUUUUUUAUAUUUUUUUGUUCCUAUUUAUCGCCUUAUUUAGGGUGGAUCCGGACAGGGGGAGCUCCACAACCCGGACC